UAGAGACUGACGUCAAAGAAUAACUUCAAGUUCUAGGCAUUUGCGAAAAAAGUACACACCACCCAUGCCCCAUGUGUGAUCCUCAACCUUCAGUGUGUGGAUGUGGCGUAUGUGCAGUCACUUCACAAACCAGUGGAGCAAAUGUGUGCAGUUCCCCCCUGAGGUUGUGACUGCUCCAACACAUAUGGCCAUGAUUGUGAUGAAUCUGAAGGGACUGAAUUGAAACUCCAAUUGAAAUUCCAAGAACAAUGGAAUGCAAGGUGGCAUCUGAAAACCCAGUGGAGAAGGUCGUUAAGUGAGUGGCCAGGUUGACAAUAGCCGAUACCCAGACGACAGGGCCAGGCAAAUAGCCAUCGCAGGUGCUAACAAUCUUGGAACUGCCAGCCUAAUAGCCCUGAAACAACAGGCCAAUGCUACUUGCACCUCAGGGCAUCCAUCUUGGGCUUUGUGUUUCAAAUGUCUGUUCCCUUUCGUUGGUCCGUUGGCUCCUUUAUUUUUGCCAGAUCUUGUCAGAUGAUGGUUUUCCAACAACAGAAAUAUUCUUUCUUUAGCAACACAGAUGUAUUCUCUAUUGACUUUUUUUACACGCUCACAAUAGGUGUCCAGUGAUGUUUAGUAUGGUAGUACAAUGGCUUGACUAAAAUUGGAUAGACACUUAAAAAAACAUGUAUUUACAGGUAUUUUAAAAUAAAAACAUGGUUUGAAUGUUAAGCAUACAUUUGGGAUGCUGUGCAUUACAUACAAAUUCAGAGAUAAGCGACU